UACGUAGGGUGCGAGCGUUGUCCGGAAUUAUUGGGCGUAAAGAGCUCUUAGGCGGUUUGUCGCGUCGACUGUGAAAACCCGAGGCUUAACCUCGGGCCUGCAGUCGAUACGGGCAGACUAGAGUUCGGUAGGGGAGACUGGAAUUCCUGGUGUAGCGGUGAAAUGCGCAGAUAUCAGGAGGAACACCGGUGGCGAAGGCGGGUCUCUGGGCCGAUACUGACGCUGAGGAGCGAAAGCGUGGGGAGCGAACAGG
rnacentral:rRNA from 1 species